rnacentral:rRNA from 1 species
UACAGAGGUGCCAAGCGUUGUUCGGAUUUAUUGGGCGUAAAGGGUGCGUAGGCGGCCAACUAAGUCGGACGUGAAAUCCCUCAGCUUAACUGGGGAACUGCGUCCGAUACUGGAUGGCUUGGAUUCGGGAGAGGAAUGCGGAAUUCCAGGUGUAGCGGUGAAAUGCGUAGAUAUCUGGAGGAACACCGGUGGCGAAGGCGGCAUUCUGGACCGACAUUGACGCUGAGGAGCGAAAGCCAGGGGAGCAAACGGG